AGCGAACGCUGGCGGCAGGCCUAACACAUGCAAGUCGAACGAACCUGCCGGGGUUUGUGGCGGUCGGGUGAGUAACACGUGGGAAGGUGCCCUUAGGUACGGUAUAACUCAGGUUAACUUGAGCUAAUACAGCAUGGGCUCUUAGGGGGAAAGAUUUAUCGCCUUUAGAGCGGCGUGCGUAUGAUUAGCUAGUUGGUUGAGGUAAUGGCUCUUCAAGGCGAGGUUCAGUGGCUGGUGUGUGACGCUGAUCAGCCACGUUUGAGCUGAGACACGGCCCACAAUCCUACGGGAGGGAGCAGUGGGUAAUCUUGCGCAAUGGGCGAAAGCCUGACGCAGCCAUGCCGGGUAAGUGAUGCAGGUCUUAGGAAUGUACAAUUCUUUCACCGGAAGCGAUAAUGACGGUACCCGGUGAAGAAGCCCCGGCUAACUUCGUG
rnacentral:rRNA from 1 species